UGCAUUUCAUAAGGUAGAGGAGGACGGUCUUCCUGAGGCCAGAACAGACUUCAGGGGACCAUGCAUACCAUACUCCGCUCCAGCCUAACUGCCUUUGGAAAAGGCCAGAACAAAAGGCUUGAAUCAAGAAUCAUUCAGGAACAGAAAUUUCAGGGGCUGUGGAGAACUGGAACAAUGGUGGAGAUCAAGCUGGGAGUCAGAAGCCCGUGGUUCAUGAGGUGCCUCAUUCUGGAGUGGAGAGGAAACCAUUUUUUGAGGAUAAAGGUGUUUCAAAGAAAUCACCCUGCCUGCAGAAGGAGGCCACGUGUUCCUCAAACAUCACCUGAAUGUUCAAGGAAGUACAUGAAGCUGUGUAAAGAAAGUUAAAAGGCUGAAAUCAACAAAGGCCUUGUAAGAAACAAACAAUAUUGCAAACAAAUAAAAAUACAUUUGAGUUAUAUUCAGGCCAAAAGGUGAUGAGUCACUGUGGUUGCUUGAGUUGGAUAAUGAAAUAUUACCUGGCACAGGAAUAAAAGCAAAUGAGUCUUUAAAGAGCAGAGGUGGCUCAGUAAAGGGUAGAUACAGAAUAAGUAUAAGCCACUGAAGAUUAAACUUGUUUUCUUUAAGGUCUUUAGUUCAGGAAAAAUGUUUUGGAACUUUGGUAACUUACAAUGUCUCACAUUUUGAGUUUCAGGAUGCAGAGUUCAGAUUGAAUUAUAAUACAACUGGGUAAAUUAGUAUGCAGUUUAAUGAUCAUAUCAAAAUAUUAACUAUUAAUGAAUUGAAAGAAGAUUUCUUGUAGGACAGAGAAGUUAAACUGUAACAUCCUGUUGGAAAGGACCAGGGCUGUCUUAUUCCGGCAUAUCCCCUGUGGUUAGUGCUGUGCUCAACUCAUAAUCAUCAUAUGAAAAGUAUUUAUUUAAUGGGUGAGUACACAAAUUGUAUAGAAGGAUAUUCCAAAGGACUCAGUCUUACACUGUUCAGGAUUUCAAGUCACUGACAUAUACGUAAACCUCACAUCCAUGUUUAUCAAGUGCAUGGAUGACCCCAAACCCUCCCAUAAGGGAACACAUAUCAGUUGGGUGACCGUGUUGAGAUACAACAGCGUUUUUGCAGACUGAAGAAAUAAACAAUGAUCCCAAGAAAAGAAAAUUGGAUAGAUGCAUCCGGAGCUCCAAAAUCAAUUUCAAAGUUACCACAGAGGUAUAAAUGAC
rnacentral:lncRNA from 1 species